GCCAGACUCCUACGGGAGGCAGCAGUGAGGAAUAUUGGUCAAUGGCCGGAAGGCUGAACCAGCCAAGCCGCGUGAGGGAAGACGGCCCUAUGGGUUGUAAACCUCUUUUGUCGGAGAACAAAACCCGGGACGUGUCCCGGACUGCGUGUAUCCGAAGAAAAAGCAUCGGCUAACUCCGUGCCAGCAGCCGCGGUAAUACGGAGGAUGCGAGCGUUAUCCGGAUUUAUUGGGUUUAAAGGGUGCGUAGGCGGUCCGUUAAGUCAGCGGUAAAAUUGCGGGGCUCAACCCCGUCGAGCCGUUGAAACUGGCGUUCUUGAGUGGGCGAGAAGUAUGCGGAAUGCGUGGUGUAGCGGUGAAAUGCAUAGAUAUCACGCAGAACUCCGAUUGCGAAGGCAGCAUACCGGCGCCCAACUGACGCUGAGGCACGAAAGCGUGGGUAUCGAACAGGAUUAGAUACCCGAGUA
rnacentral:rRNA from 1 species